GUGAAGCUUCUUGCCCUCAGCCGCCCGGUCCGAGCCGGGUUGCGGGGCGGUUACUGUAAGUCCCUUGGAGUCUGUCACUGAAACUAUUGAAAUGAAGCUGAUAAAGAAUUUAGGAACAAAAAAACUAUGCAUACCUCCAUAACUAGAAAAUUUUCAGGAUGGUUUAAUACCCCUAGCAUUAAAUUUUAGAAGGGAAACAAAAAGAUACCAAC